GACGAACGCUGGCGGCGUGCUUAACACAUGCAAGUCGAACGGAAAGGCCCUGCUUUUGUGGGGUGCUCGAGUGGCGAACGGGUGAGUAACACGUGAGUAACCUGCCCUUGACUUUGGGAUAACUUCAGGAAACUGGGGCUAAUACCGGAUAGGAGCUCCUGCUGCAUGGUGGGGGCUGGAAAGUUUCGGCGGUUGGGGAUGGACUCGCGGCUUAUCAGCUUGUUGGUGGGGUAGUGGCUUACCAAGGCUUUGACGGGUAGCCGGCCUGAGAAGGUGACCGGCCACAUGGGAACUGAGAUACGAACCAGACUCCUACGGGAGGCAGCAGUGGGGAAUAUGGCACAGUGGGCGGGAGCCUGAUGCAGCAGCGCUGCGUGCGGGAUGACGGCCUUCGGGUUGUAAACCGCUUUCGCCUGUGACGAAGCGUGAGUGACGGUAAUGGGUAAAGAAGCACCGGCUAACUACGUG
rnacentral:rRNA from 1 species